rnacentral:rRNA from 1 species
UACGUAGGCAGCGAGCGUUGUUCGGAGUUACUGGGCGUAAAGGGUGUGUAGGCGGUUGUUUAAGUUUGGUGUGAAAUCUCCCGGCUCAACUGGGAGGGUGCGCCGAAUACUGAAUGACUUCGAGUGCGGGAGAGGAAAGUGGAGUUCCUGGUGUAGCGGUGAAAUGCGUAGAUAUCAGGAGGAACACCGGUGGUGUAGACGGCUUUCUGGACCGUAACUGACGCUGAGACACGAAAGCGUGGGUAGCAAACAGG